GCACUAGUCGGGGAGCCAGCGGUGCCCUGUAACCUGCAAUCCGCUAUAGCAGGGAUGAAUUCCCGACUGAGGAUAUGUGAUGUGUUGUCUGCCCGGAGUAAGCAGCGUUGACGACCCGGUCUCGCGCAACGGGAACCCGUGAACCAUGUCAGGCGGGGAACCGAGCAGCAUUAAGCGGGCGCAACCGUGUGCCGCGAGGGCGCCGGGCCCGAGCCGGCUGCUCCGGUAACGGGUGUAUCACCUAUUCGAAGAAGGGU
rnacentral:SRP_RNA from 1 species